UGACCAUAUCACGUUGAAAUACCGCUUUCCGUACGAUCACAAAAGUUAAGUAACGUCGAGUCUGAUCAGUAUCUAGAUGGGUGACCACUUAGGAAUACCAAGUGCCGUAAG